UCGCCCGAUUAGUUCAGCUGGAUAGAAUGUCUGCCUACGGAGCAGAUGGUCGUAGGUUCGAAUCCUCGGUAUGGUGAA